UGGUAAUAACAAUAAACCAAAACAUUUUGACGGCCUAUUUCCACAAUCAGAGGAACUCGUCCAAUAACCGUCACUACCCGCUAAUUUUCACUUUUUUUCAAAACCUUUAUACCACCGUUAAAUUACCUUUAUAAAAAUCUAAUUGUAAAGAAAAACCUCAGUUUCCAGGUCAAGGUGAAGUCAAUAAAAAAGAUAGGAUAAGUUACAUUAAAAACAAUUUAAGGAAACUUUUCCAAAGAAAAUAUAAAUUAGGAUUUGAUAGUAUUCCAUUCUCAACAAAAAUAAUUCAAGAACUUCUCUACAGGUGC
rnacentral:rRNA from 1 species